GGCAAGGUGACUUGUUGCAUUUUGUGCCAGAUACUGCGCUGCAUACAUAUUUGUUUGUGUAGCUAUCUGCCCUAAAAAAUCAUCCCCAAGGAACAGCUCCAUAAAAUCCGGGGAGUUAUAGCUGGUCACGUCUCCCUGAAUACCAGGAGUCGCAGAGAACAGAGGGAUGUCGGGGACAAAAUUGUUAGGGGGCACCCAGAUAUCAGCGCCAGGAGCAGUGCCAGGGGUAUCGUCACUUUCUUCAUCUGUGUCUGGCACAUAGUCACCCUCUGCACUCUCUGAGGCAG